GAGGCCGAUAGGCGUAGGCGAUGGACAACAGGUAGAGAUUCCUGUACCAGUGCUAAUUGUUUAACCGAUGGGGUGACACAGAAGGAUAGGGAAUCGCACGAAUGGAAAUGUGCGUCCAAGCAGUGAGUGUGAGAAGUAGGCAAAUCCGCUUCUCGCGAAGCAUGAGCUGUGAUGGGGAAGGAAAUUAAGUACGGAAGUUCCUGAUUUCACGCUGUCAAGAAAAGCCUCUAGGAAGAGUAGUACUGCCCGUACCGCAAACCGACACAGGUAGAUGAGGAGAGAAUCCUAAGGUGGGCGAGAGAACUCUCGUUAAGGAACUCGGCAAAAUGACCCCGUAACUUCGGGAGAAGGGGUGCUCUAUUAGGGUGCAAGCCCGAGAGAGCCGCAGUGAAUAGGCCCAGGCGACUGUUUAGCAAAAACACAGGUCUCUGCAAAACCGUAAGGUGACGUAUAGGGGCUGACGCCUGCCCGGUGCUGGAAGGUUAAGAGGAGUGCUUAGCUUCGGCGAAGGUACGAAUUGAAGCCCCAGUAAACGGCGGCCGUAACUAUA
rnacentral:rRNA from 1 species